UACGGAGGGUGCAAGCAUUAAUCGGAUUUAUUGGGCGUAAAGGGGGCGUAGGCGGGAAUGAAAGCAAGAUGUGAAAUCCCAGGGCUCAACCCUGGAACUGCAUUUUGAACUACAUUUCUUUGAGGAUAGUCGGAGAAAACGGAAUUCCACAUGUAGCGGUGAAAUGCGUAGAGAUGUGGAGGAACACCGAUGGCGAAGGCAGCCUCCUGGGCCGACACUGACGCUGAGGGCACGAAAGCGUGGGGAGCAAACAGG
rnacentral:rRNA from 1 species